rnacentral:rRNA from 1 species
GACGAACGCUGGCGGCGUGCUUAACACAUGCAAGUCGAACGGAGUGGCGAACGGGUGAGUAACACGUGGGUGAUCUGCCUUGCACUUCGGGAUAAGCUUGGGAAACUGGGUCCAAUACCGGCUAUUGCAAGAUGAGCUCGCGGCUUAUCAGCUUGUUGGUGGGGUAAUGGCCUACCAAGGCGUCGACGGGUAGCCGGCCUGAGAGGGUGUCCGGCCACAAUGGGACUGAGAUACGGCCCAGACUCGUACGGGAGGCAGCAGGGGGGAGUAUUGCACAAUGGGCGGAAGCCUGAUGCAGCGACGCCGCGGGGGGGAUGAAAGCCUUCGGGUUGUAAACUCCGUUCGGCAGGGACGCGGUACCUGUAUAAGAAGCACCGGCUAACUACGUGCCAGCAGCCGCGGUAAUUC